GACGAACGCUGGCGGCGUGCCUAAUACAUGCAAGUCGAGCGAAGUUUUUCUGGUGCUUGCUCUAGAAAAACUUAGCGGCGAACGGGUGAGUAACACGUAAAGAACCUGCCUCAUAGACUGGGACAACUAUUGGAAACGAUAGCUAAUACCGGAUAACAGUAUUUCUCGCAUGAGAGAUAUUUAAAAGUUGGUUAUGCUAACACUAUGAGAUGGCUUUGCGGUGCAUUAGCUAGUUGGUGGGGUAAAGGCCCACCAAGGCGACGAUGCAUAGCCGACCUGAGAGGGGGAUCGGCCACACUGGGACUGAGACACGGCCCAGACUCCUACGGGAGGCAGCAGUAGGGAAUCUUCCGCAAUGGGCGAAAGCCUGACGGAGCAACGCCGCGUGAGUGAAGAAGGAUUUCGGUUCGUAAAGCUCUGUUGUUAGGGAAGAAUGGAUAUGUAGUAACUAUACAUGUAAGAGACGGUACCUAACCAGAAAGCCACGGCUAACUACGUG
rnacentral:rRNA from 1 species